CCUCCUGCUUUUUAACAAUUUUUGAAUCAUCCGUUGAUUUGCCAUCUGUUUUACCCACUUCCUUCGAUCUUCGUCCAGAUUUUGUUGCUGCACUCUUGGUUUUGCUAGAGGAACCUCCCCCAGCCCUUCCGAUUAAGUAUACACAGCUAUCAGAAAUCCAUGUCCAAAAACAGACACAAUUUCAGAACCAACAAAAAAAAAUACUCACCUCAAUGGAGAAGCAUCCACCUUUCCUUGCUUAGUAGACUGAUCAGGAUUUGUUUUCAGUUUCUUCUUUGGGGGGGGCCUAGUUAUAAUCAUCAGUCAAGUAAAUGCUAAUAGUACUCCAAUAUCAAUUCAAAGCAGGGAGCACGACAAGUGUGAGAUUUGGACUUGCAGAUAUGAUUUUAAUAUACAAUUUUAAUAUACACUUGUAACACGAGCCAACUAGAAACUCUGUGAACUAGCUAUUUCCUCCAAGUUACAUGCCCACAGGUAAAAGACAAAGAAUUAUAAAGAAAAAAGCAUUAGUAAACAAUACACACACA
rnacentral:lncRNA from 1 species